GUCGAUUUGGAUGUUGCAUGCCCAGAGCCGUCUUAUGAGUGACGUUGAGCUAAUCACAGCUGGAGCAACCAAGGAGUUCAUAACAAGAAUGUUGAUCACAAAAAGAGGGUUGAAGAACCUUAAAGAUGCUAAGGACUGUCAGGUUGCUGGAGGAGCAAAAUAGCUGGCAGGGCUUCCAGUACAUUUGGUUAAUGAGGUCUUCUGCAAGUGUGGACCUGACAACUACAAAGUCUUGAGGAUUGUGAGGAAUGGGCAGGUUUUUUUCGGGCGGGAAUACACUCGGAUGAUCAAGAGAAAUGCCUCUGUGGUCUUGCUGUCAAAUGGGAUAGUGGGAGACAUUCAUUUCUUCAUUUGGAACAAGAUGUCAGGAAGAAUACUUGUGGUUUAUAAAGUAAUAGAGCCCAACCUGGACAACCCAUUCUUCUUUGAAGAUGCUGGUUGUCACAUUCUAUGAAUGAAGUCUCAAAGCAAUGACACUGAACUUCAACUGGCAGAAGUUGCUGAAAUUAAAGAAAAGGUGUUCUUUUUGGAAGGGAACUCUGACCAACCAUGCCUAGUACGCCUGCCAAAUUUCAAUGGAGUGUGUGGCUAAAGCAAUUGGAUACAUUACAAGCAUAUAAAUAUUUGGAUGGAGUACAGUGUAGUUUAAACAGUAAAAUCCCAACACAACAAGGGACAUAAUUACACUUGAAAAAUUCACGUUUCACUCAGAUGUUGAAGUUGUUAAAAUGAAUACAAUUUAAUUUUAUUACAGCUUGUACUACAUGUAUACCCCACAACUAUUGAUGUCAAAAUAUUGCACUAACAGUUAGUGCCUACAUGUAUUGUUCACAGUUCGAGUUGGUCAUCAUAGUAUAAUAACAUACUCUUGAAUUACAUUGGUUAUACUUUUAGUUCUUUUGGUAUUGGUUUGUUUUAGGCAUUUAACUGGGUUAUGUUUGGGGUAAUAUACUUAGUAAAGUUAUAUUAAGACUUCAGCAGUAACUGUACCAGGCUGUUCUGUUAAGUUUCUUAGGUAAUUGCUCUCUGUCAGUGACAUAAAAUUCUGAUUCUCAUAGAUUCCAAAGAAUUCCAAGUCCUCUCUUCAAGCUCAGAAGCCUUCAGAUUGAGCAUUCUCAGAAAUUCUCAGAAAUUCCCAACAAUUCCUAGAAAUUCCCAGUAAUUCUAAGUAGCAUCUUUACAAUUCCCAGAUAUUCCAAAUAAUUCCAAGGUUUUGCAUUUGCUCUAAUUUGCAUGUCUUGGAAAUUUUUGGAAUUCCUAGGAAUUCCUAGGAAUUCCAAGUUCACUGGGAAUUCAGUUCGCAAGGGUAGAGAGAGAAUAUUCCAGAUGUUGAUUGUUGAAUGUGAGAGAAAGUAAGAAUGUUCAGGAAGAUUUUUUACGUCAAUAGUUCAAGAUUGUACUUAGAGUGUGUAGUUAUACAGUCCUCAGACGGAAGGAAAUAAAGAUUCUGAAGUGCACAAAGGUGUGAAUUUCUACACAGUGGUGCUUUGAGUCCAAAAAUGGAACUUAAAG